GGGGCCUGUUGCACAAAAGUAGAAUUAAGACAUCCGGGAUAAAUGACUCAGCUGAGCUCAAUGAAGCCAAAACAUGUGCGUCCAGGCUUAAUUGGUUGCACAAAGACCAAGCCAGGAUGAGCAGACACGGAUUCAUUAAGCCAGGUGAAACCAAUCCUGGAUAGGUGCGCGCUCACGGCUCACUCAAAUAGACCCCCCACAGAUCACAGAUUAACUGAUUUACCAUGGCAACUAGAGCCGCGUACUUUUCCCCGUCGGAAGCACAAAUCCUCAUGGAGGCAUACGAGGAGGUAAAAGAUAUAAUUAAGAAGAAAGGCAACACCGCCACAGUGAUAAAGCAAAGAGAAAAAGCGUGGCAAAGUAUUGCAGACCGCCUGAAUGCGUAAGUAGUGCACAAUUACACACUCACCGCUCCGCUGAAACAUCACAAUUACAAUUCAAAUAUUUAAUUCACAUCUCCAAAAAUGCAGUUGUACUGUAAUUAUGAAACGGUUAAAUUUUUAAUUGAAAUGCACUGCAGAUAUGAGUGAAAUUGUGUAAAGUAACUCCAUCACACUGUAUAAAGCUAUGAUAAAAAAAAAAAUAUUUUUACUGAAAACAAGACAAAAAUACCAAGUAAUUUUUUGCAGUGUGACUCCAUUAAAUGUGUGUGUGUGUGUGUGUGUAGAUUAAACAUGAACGGGCCAAAACGGACAUGGCAGCAGGUCAAAAUCAAAUACAAGAACAUUCUGCAGAAUGCAGUGAAAAAGAAUACCCACAGACAAGGCACGGGUGGUGGGUCACCAAAGGCUGACCUUACCCCAGCAGAGGACAUGGCCUUGGAGCUAAAUAAAGGCAGGCCCGUCUUAGAGGGGAUCCCUGGGGGGAAAGAGACGAGCAUAGGUUCCUCCCAAGAUGCCACCCGCUUCAUUCAAGUGCCUGGCAGCACUGUGUUCCUGUUAGAGCCACCAGCACAAGCACCAGACGAUGCUGAUCCAGUGAGUACUCCAUCAAAGGCAUACUGUAGGCCUGGCAUGUCUUGUCUACUAGCUUCAAUAUGAAUCCGAUUAAAUGUGAUAGGGUGAAGGCCCCAGUGCAGCAGCAACAGCACAUGAUUGAGACGAUGAUGAGGAGGAGACCAUCUCUCUGGAUUCCAGAAGGCAUGAGGACCCAGAUGCUAUACAGUGGGAAAACCAGCCUGGCAACAUAGUGCGUAUUAAUAAAAGGACACCACAUCCUGCCAAAUUCCAGCUGCGCUAAUUGUAUUGUGUUCACAGAGCUCACAAGCUAUCAGAAAGUUGUAUGGCAACCACCUCCGGCGCCAAAUAGAACUGGCAGACAUAGACAUUCAGUACAAGAAGAAAAAGAUGGAAAAUCUUGCACUGGAGUCCGAAAUAAAAAAGAGGACAAUUAGGAAACUGGACCUUGAAAUAAAAAAACUUGAGAGGGAGCUCCAAGAAGAUGACACAGCUCAAAAUAAAAAUUAGGUAUAUUCUCGUAAAGUCAAGUGAGCCAUGACAUAUGAGCUCUUAUUGUGAGCACACAGGACGGUGGCAUCUUUCUAAGGUUGUUUUUAUUUUCCCAGCAAUCAGUACAACCAAGUCAU